rnacentral:rRNA from 1 species
CUCCUCUCCGCAAGAGAACUACAAGUGAAAAACUUCAAACUCAAAGGACUUGGCGGUGUCCCAUAUCGACCUAGAGGAGCCUGUCCUAUAAUCGAUACUCCCCGCUCUACCUAACCUCAACUAGCACCCCACAGCCUAUAUACCGCCGUCGACAGUCUACCCCAUGAGGGCCCAACAGUAGACACAAUAGCCCAACCGCUAACACGUCAGGUCAAGGUGUAGCACAUGCUGAGGAAGAGAUUGGCUACAUUUUUUACAUUAAAAAACACGAAAUGCAACAUGAAACCCUGCAUGAAGGUGAAUUUAGUAGUAAGAUCUAAUGAGAGUAUUUAUCUUAACAACGCUCUGGGACGCGCACACACCGCCCGUCA